rnacentral:misc_RNA from 1 species
GGAAGUAAAAGUUGUAACAAGGUUUCCGUAGGUGAACCUGCGGAAGGAUCAUUACCACACCAAAAAAACUUUCCACGUGAAUUUGUACUCGUUUAGUUUUGUGCUGAAUUUUGACCUCGGUUGAUUUUCGGCUGAACGAAGGUUUCGCAAGAAACUGAUGUAUUUUUAAACCCAUUUUAAUUUAAAUUGUACUGAAAAUUAUAUUGCAAACAUGAAAAUGUAUGCUCUUAAUUUAAAUACAACUUUCAACAGUGGAUGUCUAGGCUCGC